AUUUCUGCCGUCAUAUUUGAUGGUGGCGCUUAUUUUUUUUGUCUCCCGGUUUUCAUAAGAGUUUGGAAUCUUUAUAUAAACUAUUUUUGAAAUAGGGCCGUUGCCGUCGGGACCGACAAAAUCACCAAAUUUGCUCACUAGAAAGGGGCGAGAGCAAACAUGCACUGAAAAAACUCUACCGUUUCAAGCAGAAUUAAACAAACGACGUUGCAGCGUGUAGAAGUUUGUUGAUUUCUUUUUAAGAAAAGAAUUGUAUGAAAAUUAAAAUUGAGGAUGGAUUCAUUUUUGGAAUAACCAGUUGAAUUCGCAAUUUCGAUACAGUUUUCCGUGUUAAAAGUUCAAUUUAUCCAAGAAUUGAACGAGAAAGUGCAAAUGCUGGUUCUGGUGAUAAACAAACUCGAAGCAUCGUAUUUUGUGACCAAAAAUGGUUAUUUAACAGAACUAGAAGAGGCGUUAGGUAGACGAAAUGGGCAAGAGGAAAUUACCCUGGCCGAUGCGCUAUUCUAUGUGGCAGUGCUGAGUGAGUUUCCGUUGCCGGAUGAACAACCUUAGCAUCGAAGCCUUGUUCCGUUGUUUCCUUCGAAGAAAGCAAUGGGGUCUGACUGGAAUUUCCAAAAACAUCAAGCAAGCGAUGACACAUGCGAAUUUGAUUCAACUUCUGAACGAAUUACAAAAGUAUGCUGCUCUGUAUAACAUAGCAGUGCUGUUCCCGAGCGAUCCGGAAACGAAAUCAACCCACCAACCCAAUCGUGUAAAAAUCAACGAAAAAACUGUUGAGACUUAGCCCCGGAAGUACUACCAGAGAAAGACAUCCGAUGCCUUUCCCGGGAAAGUUAAAGUUGUAGAAAGAUCAGAGUUAAGUUAGUUUUGACAGGCAAAUCCAUCAACAUUUUUGCCAUGCUAGACGAACUAAAGAACAUUAAAUCGAGUGACCUCCAGUCGUUGUUUAAGUUAGUUUUUUCUAUAUAAAAAAAUUAUGUUAAUUCGAAUGACAGUAGCAAAAGCAAGAAUUUUAUU